AACAUCUUCUCCGUGCUUUUUUCCUUGAUUGAGUCGUCCUGCCCCCCUUCUCUCUCUCUGCCACACGAAGAAAAACCGCAUCGAAAAAUCGCAUCUCUUCCUAGAGACGGCGGAACAUGGCGAUGGCUGAUGGAGGUCUACAUCCGGAGACCGGAGUUACGCCUGGCCGGUUGCCGGCGAGGACCUCACCGGCCGCACAAACGGCGGCCCGGAGGAGCCUGGCGAUUACUGGUGAUUAAUUUUUGUCUAGAAUUCCAGGUUUGUUCGGAUCCAUGUUUUCAUCACUUUUAAUUCCCCAGAUCUGUUCAAGUUUAUGUGGAGGCGUUUGUGGACAGCAAGAACUCCAGUGGUGCCUUCUAUCUGUUCUGAGAUCCGUCCCCCUUACGAAUACCAUUGACACGACAACCCUCCAGCGAGCAACACGGUGACGAUUCAUCGAUUUCAGAUGAGCUCUUACGACUGUCAAUACACCCAGACUUAAGCCUCAGGACGCCCUCACGCCAGCCCCACUCGGUCCUCUUCCGCAGGCGCACACCAUCGUCCUCCACCAGCCGCCACCGCCGAUCCGCCGGUCACCCCCACCCCAUCCGACCAACGGCGACCCCCCCCCCCCCCCCCCCCCCGCCCCCCCCCCCCCCCUCCCCACCUAGGCCUCCCCGGGCGGCCACCCCGACCCCAACCCCACCACCGGCGACCCAGCCACUCCAUCACCGGCGACCCGGCCUCUCCCACCACCACCGGCGAUCUAGUCUCUCCAACUCCACCACCGCCGAUCCAGCCACUCCCAGCAUCGGCCCCCCUCCUCCCACCCCCACCACCUCUUCCCACCCCCCACCACAGGAGCAUCAGCUUAACCCUAACCCUAGGUUGUUAAAAUGGUUGGACGACGCCAGACUGCCAAGAGUACUCCUUCUAGUGGCCAUGAAGGGAGGAUGACUGAUCCCAAGUAUCCUGAGCUGACCCCUCUCCUUGAGAUGGUGCACAGGAGGAGGGUUGAGAGGGAAGCGGUUGAGGCUGAAAUGGCGUCCAGAAAAAAGAGAGGGGCUGAGCUCAAGAAACCCACACAAGGUGGGGCUCCCGGGGAGGAAGAACAGAGUCAACUGAGAACUGUUCUGGAGUCGGCGUCACGUCGAUUGGGCAGCGGCGGUGGACAUGAUGUAAAAAGGGACAUGCUGGCACUGUUUGAGGCAUCAAUUAGGGUGGCUUCUAAGAAGCAAAGCAAAAUGACAGAUAUUCCGCAUUUUUACUUACCUGAGAAAGCCACCUUUGCUGAUCUCAUGAAACUAAAAAUGGAGAAGCUUCAGCGCUAUGAAAGUGUAAAAUCGUUCGACAUCGAAGGUCUAUCACCUGUGACGCCCCCCACAGAACUGGACACAUAUCAGAUUAUCGAUAUCACCCGUCCAAGUGAAACUGACCCUGAAAAGGCAAUAUCAGUGGCUCAAAUUCUAUCCCGUGAAACAGACAAUUACUUUGCUGCAGUGCGGCCAACUCCUGCUGAUCCUACAGCGGCUGGAGGGUUUUUUGUAUUCUCCAAUAUUAUUUUGCCAUGGUUCUUUGGAAAAUGUCAUCAAAUGUCUUGUAGUUCGAGAUAUGCGAAGAUAGAGAAUAUGCAGGUUUGUUGUGAUAGCAUAUACUUGUUGGUUGAAGAAAUCCUCCGCCUUGAUGAUGAGAACUGCAAGCAUAUUACUGGUUACAUGAUAUCGCUGCUCGAAAUAGGAAUGUUCUUGUUUGGAGAAUUUCCUAGAAUGCAAGGACCAGUUGAUCUACUCCAGGACAAUUUCGACUUGGAUCUCAUCAUUCAUUUGACAGCUGAAGUUCUGUUUGAUAUGAGAAACUGGUCGUAUCUCUCGAAGACGGGAUUUGCAUUUUAUCUCGGAAUGGUAGAAACAUGGUUAGAUGUGAUUGGGCACAAGGAAACGUUUCUGGAAGGUUGGAAGCAGAUGACUGCAGCGGUGGCCAAAUUUGAAAAGAGUGGACAUAAGCUGGACCUCCUUGGUGCCAAUGGUUAUUUCUCUUUGAGAAAACUGGUCGGGAACCGAUUGCAUCUUCUAAAGUUCGAUGAAGAAUACGUGAAGAGACUAAUAAUCAGGAAAUGUAGGCAACACAAGGGCAGAAUGGAACCUUUGAAAGAAGAUACCAAUCAAGUUCAGUCGAAAGACCAUGAGGGAAAGAAUCAGAAUGGAGAGGUGGUGGAGCCAAAAAUUCCUGAUCAUCUGGCUUGGAAAAAGGCUAAGAAAGAAUGAGUAUUGGUUGAGCUUGAUGGUUGAAGACAGAGAUAUGCUGAUCAAAGUUCUCUGUGAGCUGAAUGUGGAUCCGUCAGACAAGGAUCAGAGUGAAGUUCCCAGAGUUGUAUGGUAGCAUGCACGUUGCAUACAAUUCUCGGCCUGGACCUUUACCACCCCAAGGUUACACGUAUCUUUCCUGGCCACAGUCUCUUCAGCUGUAUGGUGGAGCGCCUAUUUUUGACAGUGCCCA